GAUGAACGCUGGCGGCGUGCCUAAUACAUGCAAGUCGAGCGAACGGACGAGAAGCUUGCUUCUCUGAUGUUAGCGGCGGACGGGUGAGUAACACGUGGAUAACCUACCUAUAAGACUGGGAUAACUUCGGGAAACCGGAGCUAAUACCGGAUAAUAUUUUGAACCGCAUGGUUCAAAAGUGAAAGACGGUCUUGCUGUCACUUAUAGAUGGAUCCGCGCUGCAUUAGCUAGUUGGUAAGGUAACGGCUUACCAAGGCAACGAUGCAUAGCCGACCUGAGAGGGUAAUCGGCCAACCUGGAACUGGGACACGGUCCAGACUCCUACGGGAGGCAGCAGUAGGGAAUCUUCCGCAAUGGGCGAAAGCCUGCCGGAGCAACGCCGCGUGAGUGAUGAAGGUCUUCGGAUCGUAAACCUCUGUUAUUAGGGAAGAACAUAUGUGUAAGUACCUGUGCACAUCUUGACGGUACCUAAUCAGAAAGCCACGGCUAACUACGU
rnacentral:rRNA from 1 species